AUUAAAACAUUGGUUCCCCUAUGAUCACCAAAGUUAAGCAAGAUCAAGACCAGACAGUACCUAGAUGGGUGACUGCUUGGGAAUACCAGGUACUGUAAG